rnacentral:rRNA from 1 species
GGAGAAUAUUGCACAAUGGGCGAAAGCCUGAUGCAGCGACGCCGCGUGAGGGAUGACGGCCUUCGGGUUGUAAACCUCUUUCGCUCAUGGUCAAGCCGCAACAAUGGUUGUGGUGAGGGUAGUGGGUAAAGAAGCGCCGGCUAACUACGUGCCAGCAGCCGCGGUAAUACGUAGGGCGCGAGCGUUGUCCGGAAUUAUUGGGCGUAAAGGGCUUGUAGGCGGUUGGUCGCGUCUGCCGUGAAAUCCUCUGGCUUAACUGGGGGCGUGCGGUGGGUACGGGCUGACUUGAGUGCGGUAGGGGAGACUGGAACUCCUGGUGUAGCGGUGGAAUGCGCAGAUAUCAGGAAGAACACCGGUGGCGAAGGCGGGUCUCUGGGCCGUUACUGACGCUGAGGAGCGAAAGCGUGGGGAGCGAACAGGAUUAGAUACCCUGGUAGUCCACGCUGUAAACGUUGGGCACUAGGUGUGGGGGCCACCCGUGGUUUCUGCGCCGUAGCUAACGCUUUAAGUGCCCCGCCUGGGGAGUACGGCCGCAAGGCUA